AUGGACAUCAUAGUUCUCCCUCUCUGGACACCUGGUCAUUUCCAGUUGUGUUCUGCUCUGUACGUGGCACUGGAUGCACCAUUUGACUAUACUAUAUCAGACAUGCCCUACUUGCGUAAAUGGUGGUGCUUGCUGUUGAUGGAGAACUUUGAUCUCAGGAGCUCUGGCAAGCUAUUUGCACACUGGAGAGAGGAAGCCAAAGCUGUGCUUGAAGGACAACACGUGCCCAUUUUCAGACUGAAAAAGCGCACAUUCCAGGAAGUCAGUCAGGAGGAAGCAGUUGUUGAAGAUCUGCGUCCUGCUGUGCAGUGGGUUGUCCAAAAUAAGGCACUUUUCCGUGGACACGUAACAAUGCCAAAAUAUCUGUCCUUAAAUCAAGGGGACCAGCAGAAGGUCUUAAAAGACAUGUCAGAGGAAGAAGACACUGGAGCAAGGGACUUGUUCCUCUUUGUUUUUCAGUUUGCAGAGGACAUGGAGCUCUUUUUGAAAGCAUGUGCUUAUUCAAUUCAAUUCAAUUCAGUUUUAUUUAUAUAG
rnacentral:lncRNA from 1 species